rnacentral:rRNA from 1 species
GAUGAACGCUGGCGGCGUGCCUAAUACAUGCAAGUCGAGCGAACGGACGAGAAGCUUGCUUCUCUGAUGUUAGCGGCGGACGGGUGAGUAACACGUGGAUAACCUACCUAUAAGACUGGGAUAACUUCGGGAAACCGGAGCUAAUACCGGAUGAUAUUUUGAACCGCAUGGUUCAAAAGUGAAAGACGGUCUUGCUGUCACUUAUAGAUGGAUCCGCGCUGCAUUAGCUAGUUGGUAAGGUAACGGCUUACCAAGGCGACGAUGCAUAGCCGACCUGAGAGGGUGAUCGGCCACACUGGAACUGAGACACGGUCCAGACUCCUACGGGAGGCAGCAGUAGGGAAUCUUCCGCAAUGGGCGAAAGCCUGACGGAGCAACGCCGCGUGAGUGAUGAAGGUCUUCGGAUCGUAAAACUCUGUUAUUAGGGAAGAACAUAUGUGUAAGUAACUGUGCACAUCUUGACGGUACCUAAUCAGAAAGCCACGGCUAACUACGUG